CCGCCCGGGUACUACAAGCAUCAACUUGAAACCCAAAGGACUUGGCGGUGCUUUAGACCCACCUAGAGGAGCCUGUUCUAGAACUGAUAACCCCCGUUAAACCUCACCCUCCCUUGUUAUUUCCGCCUAUAUACCGCCGUCGUCAGCUUACCCUAUGAGGGUUUUAUAGUGAGCACAACUGGUAUAACCUUAAACGUCAGGUCGAGGUGUAGUAGAUGGGAGGGGAAGUAAUGGGCUACAUUCGUCCACUGACGAAUAACGAAUAACUUAUUGAAAAAUAGGUCUGAAGGAGGAUUUAGCAGUAAAAAGGAAGUAGAGUGUCC
rnacentral:rRNA from 1 species